CUUGUCUGCUGCCAUGUGUCUUGUGUCUUUCACCAUGAUUGUGAGGCCUCCCCUGCCGCGUGGAACUACUCUUGCUCUGUUGCCCAGUCUAGAGUGAGCAAGCAGCCUCUCACUAGAGUUCACUGCAGCCUGGAGUUCCUGGGGUCAAGUAAUCCUCCUGCCUCAGCCCGCCAGAGCGCUGGUAUUACAGAUGUGAACCACUGCAUCUGGCCAACUGUUCUUUUAAAUCAUGUCACUUUACAAAGCAAUUAUAGGAAUCUUAUAACCAUAUAUAAUAAUUUCCAAAUUGUAUGGCUACUAUAAGUUGAUUAAAAGUCUAGAGAACAACAGAUUUGAGGCUUAUAAUUGUACUGUAAUGCAUGCUUUAUUCAUUAGGAUCUCAGCACGUAGGCAGACAUUAAACAAAACUUAUGCUAACAUUUGAGGACUCACUGUAUUCUAGGCACUGGUAAGGGCUUGAUAUAAAUUAUCUUCUAUAAUCCCCAAAACAAUCCUAUUCUUCCCCCUUGGUACGGAUGAAGAAAUUGUGCCUUCACCACAGAAAUAGCAGAGCUGGAAUUUGUUCCAGGAAGUCAGACUCCAGAGGCCACGUUCUUAAGCUCUGAAUGAAAACAGAAAAAAGCACAAUAAAAAGUGAACGCACAUUGAGAAAUGUGCGUUCACUUUAUAUUGUGCUGUUUUUAAGGAGAAAGCGUAUACUGUUCUAAUUUAUAUUACUUAUUUGCUAAUUUUCAAGAAAUUUCAAACUUCCCAUUUCAGUGUUAGAACUGAAGUGAGAAUCAGAAGCCCUGAGCUCUUUUUCCGUCUCUACCGCCCCUUUGACAUCAGACCAGUUUUUGACCUUUCUAAUAAAAUGACCUGUAUCCUUGUGAUAUGGUUUGGCUCUGUAUCCCCACCCAAAUCACAUCUUGUAUCUCCCAAAUUCCCAUGUGUUGUGGGAGGAACCCUGUGGGAGAU
rnacentral:lncRNA from 10 species